CCUACGGGUGGCAGCAGUGAGGAAUAUUGGUCAAUGGGCGAGAGCCUGAACCAGCCAAGUCGCGUGAAGGAUGACGGCCCUACGGGUUGUAAACUUCUUUUGUCAGGGAGCAAUUGGGUCCACGCGUGGGCUUAGCGAGAGUACCUGCAGAAAAAGCAUCGGCUAACUCCGUGCCAGCAGCCGCGGUAAUACGGAGGAUGCGAGCGUUAUCCGGAUUUACUGGGUGUAAAGGGAGCGUAGACGGCAGGGCAAGUCUGAAGUGAAAUGCCGGGGCUUAACCCCGGAACUGCUUUGGAAACUGGGCAGCUAGAGUGCAGGAGAGGUAAGUGGAAUUCCUAGUGUAGCGGUGAAAGGCGUAGAUAUUAGGAGGAACACCAGUGGCGAAGGCGGCUUACUGGACUGUAACUGACGUUGAGGCUCGAAAGCGUGGGGAGCAAACAGGAUUAGAUACCCCAGUAGUC
rnacentral:rRNA from 1 species